rnacentral:tRNA from 1 species
GCCCGGAUGGCUCAGUGGGUUAAGCAUCUGACUUCGGCUCAGGUCACGAUCUCACAGCUUGUGAGUUCGAGCCCCGCAUUGGGCU